rnacentral:lncRNA from 1 species
CAACUGACCAAGGCAGGACUGCUCCGAGGUUCACCUGCAAUCCCCACUGGAGAUCCUUGGACUGGGUACUGAUUGUGGCCCCGUGUUAUAGACUGAGAAACUGAGGUCUGAGAGCUUAGGGGCCACACAACUCAUACGUGGUAGAAUCAAGAGUUGAAUCCACAGCUUUAAUUUCUGAGCGAGUGUUCUGCAUUCCUACACUAGGCCAUAAGUGAUUCAAUUUCCAGCCCACUAUAUCAGUCCUCUCUGCUCUGCUCCUUCUGUAAAUAAUACAGUUCAUAUGCCCUAUGCUUUCCGGCCUUCUGGACUGUCUCCUUUACCUGCUCUGCCCCUCAGCUUUACCUCCAACUUUGCCAUUCUACGCUGAUUCUGUGUACACAAAAACACUUCCUACCCUCUCCUGGGCCCCUUUGGUAUUUAGUUCUCCUUCGUUGUUUUUAAAGUACGUCCCCAGAUCAGCAGCUUCAGCAUGAGCUCCUACCUAAGACCUGCUGAAUCAGAAACUGGGCACAGAGCCCGGUGAUCUGUUUUAACAAGCCCUCCAGUGAGUCUGAUGCAUGACAGGCUUGAGAACCACUGGGCUCCCUCCUGCUUCUCUGGACCCCAACAAGUCUUGGCGACAAUUAACGGUGCAGCACGACCUGGUCGUGGAAGGAUGUCCCUUCCUGAGCUCUACAAUGUGAACAGUUCUCCCCGGACACCUGGAAGUUUAGGUGGGUCCAUACUGCUCGACAUUAAGUGUGGACUUUAAAACAAAAGGACUCCUGAAUUCUUCGUGAAGAGCCAAAUCCCAGGAAGAGUCCACUACAACUUCAUUAAAAAGCAAAAGUAAGUAUUUUGCCUAAUUACAGGCGUAUAACAUGGCUGCCUUUCUGGAUCGAGCACCCCAGCCGUGCUGCCCCUGGAGUCUCCCCGUGUUGUCAGUUCCUGUUCUGUUCAUCAGUCCAAGUUGCAGGGGCCAGGAGACCCUGUUCCUGUUCCCUACCUGAUGGUUAUAUUGUUAAUGCUUGGCCGCACCCGUGGCACUUGGCUCCUGAGAGCGUCCCCACUGCCAGUUUCCCGCGUGCUUCUCACCCCAUCACUCAUCUCAUCACCCUACAGCUUCCUUCACGAAGCUCCAGCAGCUAGUUCCUUGCAGUAUCCUCUCUUGGGGCUCCAGUGGGACUCAGCCUCCUUCCGGCCCAGGCCACCUUACAGCCCUCAGUUGCUUGGACCGGGUCAUCAUCACUGUGCAAAUCUCCUGGCGAUAGAGCCCUUCGGCCACGUGUGGUGGUCAGGACCAACAGCUGGCGUGUCAACACCUGCAUGGCUAUUCGGAGCCCACGAAUGCGGGUAGAGGAGGCACUGAGCUGGGACCAGAAGAGCGGAUGGAAUCACUUGCGAAACACUAAUAAAUCUGCUGGCCCAGCUGUUCCUCAUCUGAUGAUUCUGCAGGGAAAGUGUGAAAUGGUAGAGAUGUCCAUGGGCCUGGGGGAGCCCUUCAGAGGCAAACAGUUCUCCCAAAGCCCCUGAAGCUGGGGUGGGAAGCAUCUGGAAAUAUCUGAGGGGCACUCACUGGUGUCAGGAGGCCUGGGCCCCCAGAGGCCGCAUACAUGCAUGGGGUGUGCCUGGGAACACAAGGGGUGGCCAAGUCCCAUCUCCCAGAGCAC